GGGCCCGCACAAGCAGUGGAGCAUGUGGUUUAAUUCGAUGCAACGCGAAGAACCUUACCAGGGUUUAAAUGCAGAACGACAGGGGUGGAAACACCCCCUUCUUCGGACGGACUGCAAGGUGCUGCAUGGUUGUCGUCAGCUCGUGCUGUGAAGUGUCGGGUUAAGUCCCAUAACGAGCGCAACCCCCAUUUCUAGUUGCCAGCGGUUCGGCCGGGGACUCUAGAGAAACUGCCAGCGUAAGCUGUGAGGAAGGUGGGGAUGACGUCAAAUCAUCACGGCCCUUACAUCCUGGGCCACACACGUGCUACAAUGGUGGGGACAACAGGUUGCCAACCCGCGAGGGUGAGCCAAUCCCAAAACCCCAUCUCAGUUCGGAUCGGAGUCUGCAACUCGACUCCGUGAAGUUGGAAUC
rnacentral:rRNA from 1 species